rnacentral:rRNA from 1 species
GAUGAACGCUGGCGGCGUGCCUAACACAUGCAAGUCGAGCGAAGCGGGGACGGGUGAGUAACACGUGGAUAACCUCCUAUAAGACUGGGAUAACUUCGGGAAACCGUAGCUAAACCGGAUACUGAUAGCUGGAGCCGGGCUGCAUUAGCUAGUUGGGAGGGUCACGGCUUACCAAGGCAACGAUGCAUAGCCGACCUGAGAGGGUGAUCAGCCACACUGGAACUGAGACACGGUCCAGACUCCUACGGGAGGCAGCAGUAGGGAAUCUUCCGCAAUGGGCGAAAGCCUGACGGAGCCACGCCGCGUGUGUGAAGAAGGUCUUCGGAUCGUAAAAUACUUUUAGUGGGGAGGCGGUACCUGAACAGAAAGCCACGGCUAACUCCGUGCCAGCAGCCGCGGUAAUAC